rnacentral:lncRNA from 1 species
ACAAGAGCAGAGAUUUGGGAGGCACUUGCCUCCAGGCAGUUAGCAGGAGGCCUCUAUUAAUUAGUGCCUGGAACAAAUCUACUAGCAACGUUCACAUAUUAGAAGCUUCCUCUGAAAGCCCCCAGCCCCCAGCUCACCUGAUGGAGUUUCCUCUUUGGAAACCUCUGUGCCACAAAUUAGUUUUUUAAAGACACAAGUAGUUUUAUUCAGCAUUCUUUGCAUAAUUAGACUUUUUCCUUUCAGAGAUGCUGCCCCACUGUCUUCUCGGUCAAGAGGCUAGAAGAAUUUUGAGCCAGCAAUGAGUCAGGGAAACUUCACUGAGCUUUGUUGUUAUGUGCCAUCAAGUCAUUUCCAUUUUAUGGUGACCCUAACUGAGCGUUCAGUAGGAGCCUUUUGGCCACUUCUCCUUUCAGCAACAUGUUUUGAAACAGGGUCUGCUGUGGACAAAAGGACUUAUCUGUCCAGAAGGCACUUCUCAUGCUCCCUGUCACAUGCCAUUAUGCUGACUCUGGAGAGUAUGAAGCUGUGUAGAUGUGUCCUGACUCCUAAAAUGACUUCCAUGAAGGGAAAUACUAAUAAAGAAGAUCCACCCACUCCCAGUAGGAAGAGCCAACCCCUCCUAGAUAUGUAACAGUGAUGAAGAAGAAACACCAACAUGGACACUAGCUGCAUAGGAUGAUGAUCUCAACUUCCACACCAAUUCUGCAUGUCAGCGUGUGUUUUUAUAGGCAUGUUGAAGCAUCUGCCUCCAAACAAGGUAUACAGGGUUACUUACUUUAUUACUGUGAAUAUUUCAGUUCUGCCAGAAGAAGCAUGGUAAGACUGGAUGAGCAUUAUUGAUCAUUAAU